rnacentral:ncRNA from 1 species
GUAAGCCGUGUGCGGGAGAUCCGCACGCACGGUUUGAACGGGGGUCUUACCCAACUCUUCCGCGACAUGCGGAAAGGAAAGUAGGAUCUACCCAUGC